rnacentral:rRNA from 1 species
UAUGUGAUCGUCUCUCGCAUAUCAAUAAGCGGAGGAAAAGAAACUAACAAGGAUUCCCCUAGUAACGGCGAGUGAAGCGGGAAGAGCUCAAAUUUGAAAUCUUAAAGGGUUUCCCUUUACGAAUUGUAGUUUAAAGAAGUGUUUUCUGUUGAGGUUUUGGUAAAAGUUCUUUGGAAUAGGACAUCAUAGAGGGUGAGAAUCCCGUAUUUGACCUUUACUUUCAACUUUGUGAUACACUUUCAAAGAGUCGGAUUGUUUGGGAAUGCAGUCCAAAAUGGGUGGUAAAUUUCAUCUAAAGCUAAAUAUUGGCGAGAGACCGAUAGCGAACAAGUACCGUGAGGGAAGAUGAAAAGAACUUUGAAAAGAGAGUUAAACAGUACGUGAAAUUGUCAAAAGGGAAGCGUUUGACACCAGUGUUGUUUUUCUGAAAAUCAAUUAAAGAACUGUUUAUGCUAAGCUGUUUAGACUUUAUCAGCUAUCUGUUUAGUUUUGAGCUUUUCUUUAAUGCACUUUUCAGUUAACAAGUCAACAUCAAUUUCUUUUGCUGUAAAAAAGCUUGAGGAAGGUGGCUUGAGAUUCGUCUUAAGUGUUUAUAGCCUCUUGCCUAUGCAGUCGGAGAGAUUGAGGUCUGCAGCGUAGAUCCUUCGGGGCUAAAUGCAUUUGUGCUAAGUUAUAGCAUUUUAUAGACAACUUGUUGACUAUGAUUUGUCUUGUAGCUUACUCGCUUAUGUUAUUUUACCUACGCUUAGGAUGUUGAGCGCAUGUCUCUCUCU